rnacentral:lncRNA from 1 species
ACAAACCAGAACAAGUCCCUUCAGAAUGAAAAGUUUCCCCAAAAACCUCAUUUCCACUUUCCAGAAAACUUUCAUCUUAAAAAAUGCUCCCUUCCAGCAGCCACCGGAACCACAAGCUCUGCCACCUCCUUCUUGGAAUUUGCUUCAUCUGGCUUCAACCGUCUUAGCUAUUGUACAGCUCACACAAUAGCAUUCACUCUUUGAAAGUAAAUAGAGCUCCUCAUAUAUGUCGUUGCUAUUAUAUUCUUUGAGGUUUUAACUGGACUAAUAUGUAUUUUAUGAUCAAGUGCGCUAUGAAGUUAAUGAAAGUCUGUUACUUGUGCUACUUUUGCUAUGAGGAAAAAUAUCAAAAGACACCUGUAAAAGAAGUCAUGAAAAUGGAG